ensembl:lncRNA
CUUUGUGUAACGUUAUAUAAUGUUACUCUUGGCAGUAAAUUUAGAUAGACUAGCGCAUUCCGUUAAUGAGGUGUCUCCACGUUGUUCUUAGCUAGCCUGUGUCUGUCUUAUGCUGCCGGUUUCUUAAACUUAUUUUCUAAACAUUGCUUUCAGGUGAUGACGAUUUCUGUAGUUUUGUUCCCGGAGGUGGAUGACUUUGUGGCAGCAGUUCCACGCCAGGUUGAAUUACAUGUUGAUCUCGUAAUUGCUGCAAUGUUUACUUGGUUUCACCAUAUUUACCUGUUCACCAACUUUUAUGUUUAUUUUUAGGAUGGAGCAAGCACAGUACUCCUAGGCACCAGACAGGUACUCCACGCCACCAUGUAGAGGAUGGCUACAUAGCCCCAGUCCCCGCUCCAGCUCCGCGGCCUGCCCCAGUCCCCGCUCCAGCUCCGCGGCCUGCCCCAGGCCCCGCUCCAGCUCCGCGGCCUGCCCCAGGCCCCGCUCCAGCUCCGCGGCCUGCCCCAGGCCCCGCUCCAAUAUUUUGUUUGUCCUUGUCUUGUCCUUGUAUGGUCUUUCCUGUUCUUGUUUCAGUUGAUUGGUAUGUUCAGUUCACCUGUGUUUAGCCCCCACCUGUUUCUGUUCUCCUCGUUUGUCUGUGUAUUUUGUUCAGCCAUUUUCUCCCUGUCAGUGUAGGUCAUUGUGCUUGUGUGCCUGUUAUGUUUGUGUGCUCCUGAACCAUUGAACCCCUGAACUCUUGAGUAUUUUUGUAGUGCCCGGCACUCCGUUUGGUUUUCUUUGUUUUUGUUAAAUAAAAAGGGGAAACACCUCAAUCUUCUGCGCCUGCCUCCGUCUCCUACUAUACAACGUGACAAUUUCUUAUUUAUUUUUACUGCUGCUAUGUACAGUGUUAUAUAUGAUUGCAUUAUCCUCAAUAUAUGUAUAGCUCUGUGUGAAUUCUGACUGUAGUUGUAGUGUUAUGCCACCAUUCAUAAGCUUAUUGCACUGAUGCAUCUGAUUUUCAAUAACUAUUGAUUGCUGCUAGGUCAUACUUAUAUAUAUUACUGACAUUCCAGCCCUUGUUUAUUUUGUAUUGUAUUAUGUUUAUUUUGUACUUUCACAUUCAAAUACUGUAGUUUUACUAUCUGUUUCUAGACACGUUUUCUAGCACUUUGAUUUUGUAACAUUUUUAUUUCAAUUCAUUUGCACAUGUUUAUUUUGUAUGCUUG